rnacentral:rRNA from 1 species
GAUGAACGCUAGCUACAGGCUUAACACAUGCAAGUCGAGGGGAAACGAUAGAGAAAGCUUGCUUUUUCUAGGCGUCGACCGGCGCACGGGUGAGUAACGCGUAUCCAACCUGCCCACCACUUGGGGAUAACCUUGCGAAAGUAAGACUAAUACCCAAUGAUAUCUCUAGAAGACAUCUGAAAGGGAUUAAAGAUUUAUCGGUGAUGGAUGGGGAUGCGUCUGAUUAGCUUGUUGGCGGGGUAACGGCCCACCAAGGCUACGAUCAGUAGGGGUUCUGAGAGGAAGGUCCCCCACAUUGGAACUGAGACACGGUCCAAACUCCUACGGGAGGCAGCAGUGAGGAAUAUUGGUCAAUGGGCGAGAGCCUGAACCAGCCAAGUAGCGUGCAGGAUGACGGCCCUAUGGGUUGUAAACUGCUUUUUAUAGGGGGAAUAAAGUGAGCCACGUGUGGUUUUUUGCAUGUACCCUAUGAAUAAGGACCGGCUAAUUCCGUGCCAGCAGCCGC